UUAACUUUUUAAUGUCUCAUAAUCAGCAGUCGAAAUAUCAUUUGAGAAUAAAAUACAACAAGCAUAACUGACCAGCGCCAAUGAACAAGGCCAAACAACAGUUACUGCAGACCCAAACUUAAACCCUCAUUUGAAACACUAAGAUAAGCUCUUGUGAUUUAUCAUAAUGAUUUUUUAAAUACUAAUUUAGAUUUUACCCUUUCACCGAUAUGUGCACUGUCAGUUUUAUAGCACAUAUCGGUGUAAAGGUAAAACCAAAAUCAAUCUUGAUGCAAAUUUAAAAAAACAUGAUAAAUUCGUCUGUCCCUUCUUAAUUUCUCUCAGUAGUGCGAUGUCUCUUCGACUACAACUGGACCUGAGCAUCGCCGGAGGAUUGCCUACAACUGGGACCUAUUUGGAUGACCAUCGCUGCAGAUGCAGCAGGUCAAUCACGGACUGCUUCAUUGGUUGAGACGAGCGGGCGCCUCCAGCUGAAGAAGAACUUUGGCAAGACGUUGGUCAGAUGACUCUCUCCACUACAAGUCCAACCGUUCAAAUGCCGUGAUGUUGAGGCUAUAACUACCACUUUUGGACUUGGUGCAAAGAGUCAACCGCAGACCACUUGAGUGAGACAACGACCUUUGACCUCUUGAGGCUCAUCAACACUUUUUGGACCGAGUCCCACCCAAGCUGAAGGAGAACUGUGGCAAGUCUAGCCAGACAACUCUCCGCUUCAAGUUCAACCGUUCAAGUGACUGAUAGGAUGUGGAGGUUACCAACGAUCUUGGACUGUGAUGAUCAUCCAAAGAAAGAACUGGGCCAAGUCUAGCUAGAUUACUCUUCACACUACAAGUUUUAACAUUUUUACAAAGUGACAUGGUUGUUGAGGAUACCAACCAUUUUAUGGACUAACACCUGGAGAACUGCGUCAUCGUUCGGGUAACAUAAUGAUUUUGAUCACCGCUGCUUUUUGGACUUCAAGAACCACCAGAAGAAGCACUUGUCAAGUCUAGCUAGAUGACUCUUCACUAUAAGUUUUAACUUUUACAAAGUGACGUGGUUGUUUUUGAGAAUAACCACCAUUUUAUGGACUAACACCUGGAGAACUGCGUCAUCGUUCGGGUGACAUUAUGAAUUUGAUCACCGCUGUGUUUUGGACUUGUGAGCCACCAGUAGAAGGACUUGUCAAGUCUAGGUAGUUGACUCUUCACUACAAGUUUUAACUUUUACAAAGUGACGUGGUUGUUGUUGAGAAUAACCACCGUGUUUGUAUGGACUAACACCUAAAGAACUGCGCCAUUUCAGGUGACGUGAUUUUGAUCACCGCUGCUUUUUGGACUUG